rnacentral:rRNA from 1 species
CCUACGGGUGGCAGCAGUCGGGAAUAUUGCGCAAUGGAGGAAACUCUGACGCAGUGACGCCGCGUAUAGGAAGAAGGUUUUCGGAUUGUAAACUAUUGUCGUUAGGGAAGAGAAAGGACAGUACCUAAGGAGGAAGCUCCGGCUAACUACGUGCCAGCAGCCGCGGUAAUACGUAGGGAGCGAGCGUUAUCCGGAAUUAUUGGGUGUAAAGGGUGCGUAGACGGGAAUGCAAGUUAGCGGUAAAAUCGCGGGGCUCAACCUCGCUCCGCCGUUGAAACUGGCGUUCUUGAGUGGGCGAGAAGUAUGCGGAAUGCGUGGUGUAGCGGUGAAAUGCAUAGAUAUCACGCAGAACUCCGAUUGCGAAGGCAGCAUACCGGCGCCCAACUGACGCUGAAGCACGAAAGCGUGGGUAUCGAACAGGAUUAGAUACCCUGGUAGUC